GGAUUAGCUCAGUUGGUCAGAGCAUGGUGUUAUUAAUGCCAAGGACGUGGGUUCGAUCCCCACAUGGGCCA